AGUGGCGAACGGGUGAGUAACACGUUGGUGACCUGCCCCGAAGUGAGGGACAAUCCUGCGAAAGCGGGGCUAAUACCGCAUGUGCUCCAGGGGGUUAGAGGCCCCUGGAGUAAGGCUCCGGCGCUUCGGGAGGGACCUGCGGCCUAUCAGCUAGUUGGUGAGGUAACGGCUCACCAAGGCUAAGACGGGUAGGGGGCGUGAGAGCGUGGCCCCCCACAAUGGAACUGAGACACGGUCCAUACUCCUACGGGAGGCAGCAGUGAGGAAUAUUGCGCAAUGGGGGAAACCCUGACGCAGCAACGCCGUGUGAGUGAUGAAGGUCUUCGGAUUGUAAAACUCUGUCCUAAGGGAAGAAAAAAAUGACGGUACCUUAGGAGGAAGCCCCGGCUAACUACGUGCCAGCAGCCGCGGUAAUACGUAGGGGGCAAGCGUUAUCCGGAAUCACUGGGCGUAAAG
rnacentral:rRNA from 1 species